AUGAGAACAAGUCACUGAUAGAUUGCUUUCAGUGAGUCUGUCACUCUCAUUAAACUCUGCGAGCAGUCCAGCGACGAAGCACAAAAUUGUUGAAAUUCCACAGAAAUAUGUUGUGAAUCUGUGCAUGGAUCUUGUGUCCACUUACUCCCACUGCAAUCUUUGCAAGUCAAAUCAUCCAUCCGAAUUAGAACAGCCAAGGGGAAGAAAGAUGAAAGAAGAAAGUGAAUAGUCAGGGUGACAGGCAGCCUUGACGAUACUCCAGCAUCCCUGAUGCAACACACCAUGAAAAGGGACUGGAUGGAAGAAACUGAUGAUACUGUGAUGGACCGGGCCAUGUUUACCACACCCUGCAGGUUCAGCUGUUCAACCGGCAGAAAACAGAACAAGCUGAGAUGAAUCCCAUCACAUUCUUACUCUUUUUGCAAUAAAAUGAUUCUUAAUUGAAC